rnacentral:sRNA from 1 species
GCCAGGCACGGUGGCGCAAGCCUUUAAUCUCAGUGACUCCAGAGGCUGAGACAGGAGAAUUGCGAGUUCAAAGCCAGCCUCAGCAGUGGCAAGGCACUAUGCAACUCAGUGAGACCCUGUCUCUA